AGGAGUGAAAGGGGGCUGGAGCCCCUGCCCUUUUCCUCACCUGCCCCCCUAGUGCCCUCACAAAAGGAGGUGCAGACUCAGGGUGACAGGUGAAGUAAAAAGGAUCCAUUGCUGGGGAGAUUUGUAUGUGGUUUAAUGGAGUAUGCUGUGCCCUCCCUGCAGCAAGGGGGCGCCACUCACCCUGUCAUUAGCUGCCCUUUCUCUGCUUCUCUCCACAGGGAGGAGACAGGAGCAGCGGAGGCAGAGAGAAGCCCCGCCCACAAACUCCAGUCUAUGCAGCCCUUACUUAUAUUAUAGAAUGUAAGCAUAUAUUUGUGUGGUGUCCAUCUCUUCAGUGUAAGAACCAGAGCUGUGUGGAGAUUCCUGCAUAAGGACUUCAACUUCCCAUCUCUCCAGAAUAUUCCUACGAAGAUCUGCAUCUUGCGAAAUAAAUGACUAUUUCCUUAAAAUCGCCCGUUCUUUUAACUAUAGAACAUUUAUAUCUAGAUACAGAAUAACGAUGUCUGUCUAACGCUGCUACUCAUAUCAAAAUCAGAUGGGCAUGCUUCAAUACCGAUCUCUCUAAGGCAACCAGUGCAAAAACAAAACAGUAACAAUAAAAAUUGAGUCAACCUAUACUUAGAAUUUUUGUCUGAGUUGGUCAACCAGCCUCCAUCAGUAGGAUGCAUAACCAGCAGCCAGUAUGCCCUUAUCUGGCCAGAUCUAAAAAAAAAAAUAAAAAAACAUGGUUAUCUCGACCAUGUGGGAGGUUUGAGUGAUCCCAGAGGGACAUCUGUUUAGGUAAAAGAAAGCUAUUUGUACACUACUAUCAUAUGCAUGAUUACUGCUGAGGAUUUAACAUGAAUUUGUAGAGAGGCUACAGAGGUAUAUAAGCAAAACACACACAGCACUGUAAAUUCUGCUACAAGAGGGCCAAUGGAAAAGUAAUCUGUUGCAAGGAAUCAA